ACUAUAUACUAAAGUUGGUGAUCUACUGUUCAUCAGCUUAGUAACAGUGCCAGCUUGAGCCGACCCGUUACAUGAAAAGACGAUUUUGCCCCUGCAUGCUGUUUCUUGCUUCGACACCUGGGUUGCUGUUCAGUGCUAUCGUGUCUUUCCUACUUCGCUCCACAGAGAGGUAGAUAGUGCUAUCAGGCGUGCAUCACAGACUUGCCAAAACCAGUACCAAGUCCCUCGAUUCGACCGUCGGUGGUAGAAGCAGGGGAAUGCUGAAACCAGUCGGACUCGGCCGAAGAAUAAGCAAGCCCACCCUUAGCGACCUCGAAACACCGUCAUUUCCGCAAGGUGAAGACGACCACUUGAAACCACCAUGGAGAAAAGACAACAAAUCUGACCUUCUACCCAGAUCCCACCCUUCCAUCACCAACUCUUUCCUUCCAAUCAAAGCCCGAUUUCGUUGACAACGCCAAACCAACCAUGCUUGAGCGACCUCCUUUUCGCUCUCUCGAAUCUGAACUCUCUCAAAUAUCCUUCAAAUUUCUUGAUCGUGAUUGAGGUAGACGCAUCGUUUUCAUCUUCCAGUUUCGAUUGAGGUGGCAACUUUUUGAUCAAAUCAAAGGAUCCGAUUGAGCAAUCAGAUGUCUUUAAGAUUUUGAGCUUCGAUCAGGGUUGCAAUUGGUGAUGGCUUCGGUUGCUGUGGUUGAGGUCUGAGUUUUUGAUUUGGUUGGAUGUGUGGAAACUAAGGGGUUAGAUUGGCAAAAGCUGUACAGAAGUUGGGAAGAUAAUCCGGAUGUCAGUUGUAUUGCACUAAGGGCAGUGGCAAGGCAUUUUGUGAGGAUAGAGAUAGACAGACAUUAGCAAGAAAAACAAAAAGAACACAAGCCAAUGUUUCAUGGAAAAUGACACACCCUGAACUGAAAAAACAAAUGAUGAAAUCAAAAUGGCUAAAUUGGAAGCUAAACUUGGCAGUGAGAUGAGCAAAAUUGAAGGCCUUACUGGCAAGUCUUCCAAGCUACUAGCAUUUUGCUGACCAAAUUUGAUAUGCUGAGCGUUGUUUCUUCCCAUGUUGCAGGCAAGGAAAAAGGAUUAUGUUUCAAAUCUUUUUGAGCAUGAUACUGAUACCCAUGGCUUAUGAAAUAUAAUAUGUAAAAGGUUUCCAAUAACCAUUUAUAGUUGUUCCAACAGUGAUUGUAAGUAAGAUUGUUCCAACAGUGAUUGUAAGUAAGAAUACUCAAUAUUCUUAUAAUUCCAGUGGUUGAUCUCAUAUUAUGUAACGUCAAUGCAGUAUUAUAAA